GCCAGAAAUGGCAUUCCAAUAAAGCUAGAAAGAGAAAGGCUUAUAUUCUGAGAAAGAAUAUGUUGAAUAUCUAUUAAUUAUCAAAAUAAAACCAGUCCUUUACCACCCUGAAAACACCAUAGGAUUUGUUUCUAACGUGGCCUUAUGUAUUAUUCCUUUCCAUUAGGAAAAAACCCCAAGAACAGAAAACCACUACACAAGUGAUUUUCUAACUCUAAUGGCAGCUGACUGUAACUAUAUUUCCUGUUGUCAUUCAUCAAUCAUGCCAAUUUUAAAAGACAUCUUACUGUAAUUUCAUAGAAAAUCUCAAUUCCUCUACAGCAUUGUUGAAAUGGCUGAAAUAUGAACACAAAAGAGAUCUUUUAAUGUGUUGUGCUGGUCUCCAACUGUAACUAUAAGGCUAAAAAAUGUUUGUCAUCCCACUCUGAUUUCAUCUUCUCAAACAGCUGUAAAAGGUUGUCCACAUGAAACCAAGCUUUCUUUUAACAACAGAGGGGUAGGGACAGGUGCCCAACUUGGCAUUUGAAGGCAAGAGAAGUCUGGAGAUAAAGAGUGACACGCAUAUAAAGCAUGCUCCACUUUAUAUUUUAGAAGGCAUUACCCCAAUCCAGCAGGGUAUCAGUUUUGAAAUUUGAAAUUGCUUUACUGUUUGCUCAGCAGGGUAAUGAGAUGAACAGGAUCAGAGACCUGAGCUAUGACUGGGACCAGAAUAAUUUCUUAUCUUUCAGUAGCCUAAGAAGACAGCAAUGUCCUACUGCUUUACAUCAUCACUGCAAUUUACAGUAGAUGUGCCCUUUUUUGUUUUUCAGUGACAUUUCUGUGAUCACUCUGUAUUAAGGGGCUUUGUUCAGUGAUGUUUAGCAGCACCAUUUGAAGCCUCCUUCUGAAAUAGUAUAUUAUUGUCAUCAGCUAUCAAGAAACUUCAUAUUUUUUCUGGAAACUUACACUCCUAUGGAGGCUGUUAGCAGGUUUGUGCGUAUGUGUGGAAGCUGAAGCUUGGUGUUUCAAAGGGCUACAUACUGGAGUAUGACAGUAGGCCUGUAGGUGACUGCACAGAGCGGCGUCUGGCAGAAAACCCCCACCUCUCACCAGGAUCACAGACUGCUGCAACUUUCACCUGCAAGCGUGGAAACACUGUAAUUGCCAUUGCGGAAGGACACACAGCAGCACAGGUGAAUGUGGGAGAGCCUGCAUUUAGGCAUGCAUCACUGCCCAAGCCAGGAUCUGGUCACAGGCCUCCUGCACCACCAUCGCAGCGCCUAGCAGUUCUCCAGCACAGAGAAGCUAAUUUGAGUUGAUUGUCUUUCCGUAAGACUGUGAGGACAGGAGACAACAGUAGCAAAGCAGAGUGGAAGGUGACAGCAAAAAAAGAGGUCUGUAACAAUGGCCAGGAUGUGAGCUGCAAGUUUUAUCAUCAUAAUGAAGAUUUCUCAAAAAUUAGCUUUUUAAAAGUAACACAACUACUAGAAAGAGUUUGAGUGCCUGCAUUAAUCAUUGCUUAACCUGAGCAAACCAGAAAUCAGAGGAAAACACAAUUACUUUUCUAUUUGGCCUAAUUUCAUCUCACUUAAUCCACCUUAUGGUGCGCAGUACAUAAAACUUAGGCUAUGUGCAUAGGGUUAUAUUUCACCCUGCGCAUGAGACAUGAACCAUCUUCUGCUGUAAACCUGUAUAACUCCACUGCCUGCAUUGUCAGCAGAUCAGCACCGUGAGUUGCACGCCCAGACAGGAAGAGAGAGGAAAAUAAACGUGUGCCUCUCUGGAUCAUACUUUUAAAGCUCAGAUACCUUUUUAGAGGAUGUUUCUGAGACAAGACGUGUAUUGCUGUGUUUAGAACAUCAACAAAGGAAACUCCCUGCCCGCUUGCAUGGGAGGUCAAACCAAGAGCAUGUUCUGAGUGCAGCGGCAGAGCAGAGCUGUAAGUGCUGAAGGCACACCAAUAACCAUAAUCCUGACAUAACAGCUCCGCAGUAUAGGGUUGAUUCAGAGAUAUGACAUUGUGUGUUAACAUAUGCAUGAGUUGCUAAAUUGAUUGAGCUUGGUCCACCCUGGAAAAGCUUUUUGAUUUGAUGCUUUUCAUUUCAGCAAACAGUUUUAUUGCAGCCAGUUUUUCAAAUUGUCAAAUUAUCUUCUGAGCAAAUAUAGUAGUGCUACAACACUUAAGAA